rnacentral:rRNA from 1 species
GUGAGGAAUAUUGCGCAAUGGAGGCAACUCUGACGCAGCCAUGCCGCGUGCAGGAAGAAGGCGCUACGCGUUGUAAACUGCUUUUAACCGGGAAGAAACCCCAGGACGUGUCCUGGGUUGACGGUACCGGAGGAAUAAGCACCGGCUAACUUCGUGCCAGCAGCCGCGGUAAUACGAAGGGUGCAAGCGUUAUCCGGAUUCAUUGGGUUUAAAGGGUGCGUAGGCGGAGCGUUAAGUCAGUGGUGAAAUCCUGCAGCUUAACUGUAGACUUGCCAUUGAUACUGGCGCUCUUGAGUGCGCUUGAAGUGGGCGGAAUGUGCCGUGUAGCGGUGAAAUGCUUAGAUAUGGCACAGAACACCAAUUGCGAAGGCAGCUCACUAAGGCGAUACUGACGCUGAGGCACGAAAGCGUGGGGAUCGAACAGGAUUAGAAACCCCGGUAGCC